GACGAACGCUGGCGGCGUGCUUAACACAUGCAAGUCGAACGGAAAGGCCCUGCUUGCAGGGUACUCGAGUGGCGAACGGGUGAGUAACACGUGGGUGAUCUGCCCUUCACUUCGGGAUAAGCCUGGGAAACUGGGUCUAAUACCGGAUAGGAGCCAUUUUUAGUGUGAUGGUUGGAAAGUUUUUUCGGUGUAGGAUGAGCUGGCGGCCUAUCAGCUUGUUGGUGGGGUAAUGGCCUACCAAGGCGGCGACGGGUAGCCGGCCGGAGAGGGUGGCCGGCCACAUGGGGACGAGGAUAGGCCCAGGAUCCUAAGGGGAGGAAGCGGUGGGAAUAAUGGCACAUUGGCCGGAGGCUUAUGCCGCCACGCCGGGGUGGGGGAGGCCGGCUUCGGGGUGUAAACUCCUUUCGCUAGGGACGAAGCUUUUUGUGACGGUACCUAGAUAAGAAGCACCGGCUAACUACGUG
rnacentral:rRNA from 1 species